UGUCUUUUUGAAAUUAAUAUAAAGUUUGAUCUGCCCACUGAUUAAUAAUUGAAGGGCUGCAGUAUAUUGACUGUACAAAGGUAGCAUAAUCAUUAGUCAUUUAAUUGAUGACUUGUAUGAAGGAUUGGAUGAAAUAUAAUCUGUCUCUUAAUUAAUAAUAGAAUUUAAUUUUUUAAUUAAAAAGUUAAGAUGGUUUAAAAAGACGAGAAGACCCUAUAGAGUUUAAUAAAUAAAUUAUUUGAUAUUAUUUAUAAUUAUAAAAUUGAAAUUAAUUUAUUUAUUUUGUUGGGGUGAUAAAAAAAUAUAAAAAACUUUUUUUUUUAGUAAACAUUUAUAAGUGAUUAAAUGAUCCAAUAUUAUUGAUUAUAAGAAUAAAUUACCUUAGGGAUAACAGCGUAAUUUUUUUUUUUAGUUCACAUAAGAAAAAGAGUUUGCGACCUCGAUGUUGGAUUAAGAUAAAAUUUAAAUGCAGAAG
rnacentral:rRNA from 1 species